GUGGGGAAUAUUGGACAAUGGGCGAAAGCCUGAUCCAGCCAUGCCGCGUGUGUGAAGAAGGUCUUCGGAUUGUAAAGCACUUUAAGUUGGGAGGAAGGGUAGUAACCUAAUACGUUGCUACUUUGACGUUACCGACAGAAUAAGCACCGGCUAACUUCGUGCCAGCAGCCGCGGUAAUACGAAGGGUGCAAGCGUUAAUCGGAAUUACUGGGCGUAAAGCGCGCGUAGGUGGUUCAGUAAGUUGGAAGUGAAAUCCCCGGGCUCAACCUGGGAACUGCUUUCAAAACUGCUGAGCUAGAGUACGGUAGAGGGUGGUGGAAUUUCGGGUGUAGCGGUGGAAUGCGUAGAUAUCCGAAAGAACACCAGUGGCGAAGGCGACGAUCUGGGCCUGAACUGACGCUGAGGAGCGAAAGCUAGGGGAGCAAACGGGAUUAGAUACUAGUAGUCC
rnacentral:rRNA from 1 species